UGCUAUAAUGCAAGUCGAGCGAGCUGAAUUCAAAGAUCCCUUCGGGGUGAUUUGUUGGACGCUAGCGGCGGAUGGGUGAGUAACACGUGGGCAAUCUGCCCUAAAGACUGGGAUACCACUUGGAAACAGGUGCUAAUACCGGAUAACAACAUGAAUCGCAUGAUUCAAGUUUGAAAGGCGGCGCAAGCUGUCACUUUAGGAUGAGCCCGCGGCGCAUUAGCUAGUUGGUGGGGUAAAGGCCUACCAAGGCAAUGAUGCGUAGCCGAGUUGAGAGACUGAUCGGCCACAUUGGGACUGAGACACGGCCCAAACUCCUACGGGAGGCAGCAGUAGGGAAUCUUCCACAAUGGACGCAAGUCUGAUGGAGCAACGCCGCGUGAGUGAAGAAGGUCUUCGGAUCGUAAAGCUCUGUUGUUGGUGAAGAAGGAUAGAGGCAGUAACUGGUCUUUAUUUGACGGUAAUCAACCAGAAAGUCACGGCUAACUACGUGCCAGCAGCCGCGGUAAUACGUAGGUGGCAAGCGUUGUCCGGAUUUAUUGGGCGUAAAGCGAGCGCAGGCGGAAUGAUAAGUCUGAUGUGAAAGCCCACGGCUCAACCGUGGAACUGCAUCGGAAACUGUCAUUCUUGAGUGCAGAAGAGGAGAGUGGAACUCCAUGUGUAGCGGUGGAAUGCGUAGAUAUAUGGAAGAACACCAGUGGCGAAGGCGGCUCUCUGGUCUGCAACUGACGCUGAGGCUCGAAAGCAUGGGUAGCGAACAGGAUUAGAUACCCUGGUAGUCCAUGCCGUAAACGAUGAGCGCUAGGUGUUGGGGACUUUCCGGUCCUCAGUGCCGCAGCAAACGCAUUAAGCGCUCCGCCUGGGGAGUACGACCGCAAGGUUGAAACUCAAAGGAAUUGACGGGGGCCCGCACAAGCGGUGGAGCAUGUGGUUUAAUUCGAAGCAACGCGAAGAACCUUACCAGGUCUUGACAUCCUGCGCUACACCUAGAGAUAGGUGGUUCCCUUCGGGGACGCAGAGACAGGUGGUGCAUGGCUGUCGUCAGCUCGUGUCGUGAGAUGUUGGGUUAAGUCCCGCAACGAGCGCAACCCUUGUCUUUAGUUGCCAUCAUUAAGUUGGGCACUCUAAGAAG
rnacentral:rRNA from 1 species